rnacentral:lncRNA from 1 species
AUUGGCUAGAAGAAGUCACAUGGCCCACCCAACCAUAAAGAGACCUCUGAAACUUAUCCCCGCUGACGUAAGCUCUUUAAAACUUGACAACACCAUCUUCAGUGCCAAGAACAGUGGUCUGGAAUAUACUGGAGACUCAAAACAGCUACAGUGAAGGAAGAGGGGAUAGGCAAGAGGAAGAAAAUUAAUGUGGGUGUCCCCAAUCCACAACAGGUCUGAGGAGUCUUCUCCACCUCCAGAGCUGAAAUGUAUUCAAAGAGAUUGGCCAAAGGGACAGUUAAGCCUUCAGGAAAGAUUAUCCUGCAACUGGAUUGUUAGGAAAUGCUCUUAGAAGGACAUGAAAAUCCUCCACAUAUUCAUCUUUUCAUCUUAUUUAUCAGCUUUGGAUAAUUCUCCUCAGUAAAACUUAUGAUGAAGCAUUUUAAAUGUCAGCUUUAAAAGGUAAGAAAA